UUACUAAGGGGCCAUUUAUAGCUGACUACGCGGUAUGUUAUUUGCUCAUUGUUGAAGACCGUCCGUUGACCUAUAACUUAUUUUCUGUGACAUUUUGGUCUCCUGUGAUGAGUUGUCUUUUGGAGAGUUGUCUCAUUGGCAAUCAUACCACAUCUUUUUUUAUAUUUAUGAACUAUUGCCAAAUAUUGAAGCAAAACUUAAAGAGAUAGGGCGAUACGAAGACUUCAUUUCCGUAUUGAAAUCCUUAUCUAAUGGAAUAUUU
rnacentral:lncRNA from 1 species